AGCUCUCUUGAAAUACAAGAGCAAAAGGAGGAAAUUCAGUCACAAAAAGAAGAAAUUACAACACAAAAACAUGAAAUUCAAGCACAAAAAGACGAAGUUAGAGGAUGAGGUAUCCCAUGAACUCGUAGAUUGCCUUUUUGAUUGGUUUUUGAUGACGUUUAUUAGAAGCAUAUAUACUUGCAUAUCAAGAUCAAAGUGUUGAAUUUUUUUUCCUGAACUGAUACUUUCUAGUUUUACACCUAGUUGAGUGUUAUUUUUUUUGGUAGACUCCACGAUAGUUCAUUUUGGAAUUUGUUAUGAUGGUUUUUUUUAUUGUACUUAAUGGAUUAUUAUUAAAUUUGUUUGAUGGAUAUAUUUUCAUUUAUGAUAUAAAUUGUUUAGUGAAUUAUUUUG